CAACUCAGCAGCGUUUCCAGGAAAGUAAAGUUAAACCACAACACUGGAAAACUCUGUCCCCAUGGUGGUCUCCCAUCCACUAGUCUGCUGUGUAUUCAUUUUCAUACAGUGAUACAGUACACCUUGUGUGAUCUGCCAUCCCUGAAGAGUUGGAUGCUGUUCAUGUUGGAUAAAUGUCAAAGCAGCACCACCAUUAGCUAUGCACUGAAGUUGUACAGACUCUACAGCAGCAAAAUGGCCAGGCCUUUCCUCAAGCUGCCGCACUAAGCCACCGGGCUCUGGGUCACACUACCCUAAAGGUUCUUGAAAGAGUCUGCUGCAGGAGCCUGAACGCUCGCAACACAUCCUCCCAUGUCACUCUCCUCAUCACUGCUUGCCGGACUAGGGGAGGAUGCGGCGGAUGACUAAUACACUUCUUGGCUGGCAUUGACGCAACCCAGGAAGUGACGUCACGGUGGAACGCUUCUAUCCGGCGUCCCGGCGCAUUUAAAUAGAUGGGCGCCAUGAUCAUGGACAAUGGCGUCCUCGUGGCAAAGGCUUGAUUACUAUGUCCAUUGGA